UGGAAGACUAGUGAUUUUGUUGUUUUGUUUCACGAGUAACAAUAAAUCCCUUGUCUUCUUA
rnacentral:pre_miRNA from 1 species